rnacentral:sRNA from 1 species
CAGGGAUCUCUCAAGAAUGAUUGAGCUUUAGUAGAAUACUAAAGGUAAGUCCCAAGUUAUGCAUACAUUGAUAAGAUCCCAUCUACCCAGAGUAUAACAAUGAAGCUCUAAUGGUAAUCCCAACUCCAAUCCCAAUACAAGAACUUAACUCUACCCUUUGCACUCGUGAAUCU